rnacentral:misc_RNA from 1 species
CGGGCACUGCCCUUCUCGUGACUGGUUGCAUUCCGGUGGCCUUAAGCAAUUCCGAGGGAGUUGGCUCUGUCCGGGCCCUGGUCCGGUUACCCGACGCCCACCUGUAUAUACAGGUCCUCGGGAAUGAGAGAACCGCACGGUUGGUGUGGUCCCGCC